UAGUCCACGCCCUAAACGAUGCUUACUCGAUAUUUGGACUUCGGUCUGAGUGUCUAAGGGAAACCGAUAAGUAAGCCACCUGGGGAGUACGUUCGCAAGAUUGAAACUCAAAGGAAUUGACGGGGGCCCGCACAAGCGGAGGAACAUGUGGUUUAAUUCGAUGAUACGCGAGGAACCUUACCUGGACUUAAAUGUGCGUUGCAUGGAUUGGAGACAGUCUUUUCUUCGGACUACGUACAAGGUGCUGCAUGGUUGUCGUCAGCUCGUGCCGUGAGGUGUCGGGUUAAGUCCCAUAACGAGCGCAACCCCUAUCCUUAGUUGCCAGCGGAUUAUGCCGGGGACUCUGAGGAGACUGCCACCGUAAGGUGUGAGGAAGGUGGGGAUGACGUCAAAUCAGCACGGCCCUUAUGUCCAGGGCUACACACGUGUUACAAUGGACGGUACAAAGGGCAGCUACCUGGCGACAGGAUGCUAAUCUCUAAAGCCGUUCUCAGUUCGGAUCGAAGUCUGCAACCCGACUUCG
rnacentral:rRNA from 1 species